GAUGAACGCUGGCGGCGUGCCUAAUACAUGCAAGUCGAGCGAACAGACGAGGAGCUUGCUCCUUCGACGUUAGCGGCGGACGGGUGAGUAACACGUAGGUAACCUACCUAUAAGACUGGGAUAACUUCGGGAAACCGGAGCUAAUACCGGAUAAUAUUUCGAACCGCAUGGUUCGAUAGUGAAAGAUGGCUUUGCUAUCACUUAUAGAUGGACCUGCGCCGUAUUAGCUAGUUGGUAAGGUAACGGCUUACCAAGGCAACGAUACGUAGCCGACCUGAGAGGGUGAUCGGCCACACUGGACCUGAGACACGGUCCAGACUCCUACGGGAGGCAGCAGUAGGGAAUCUUCCGCAAUGGGCGAAAGCCUGACGGAGCAACGCCGCGUGAGUGAUGAAGGUCUUCGGAUCGUAAAACUCUGUUAUUAGGAAGAACAAACGUGUAAGUAACUGUGCACGUCUUGACGGUACCUAAUCAGAAAGCCACGGCUAACUACGUG
rnacentral:rRNA from 1 species